AUGCUCCGGAAUUCCCAGGCUCCCACACGUCCGGGGUGGAAUAAAGCUGUGGAUGUUGGGGAUUACGGGAUUAUCCCGGUGUUUUGGGGGAAUCCAACACCUUCCAUCUGCUCCUGUCCAGCCUUGAGCACCUCCAGGGAUGGGGCAGCCCCAGAUUCCCGGGAUAACUCGUGCCAGAGCCUCAGCACCCUGACAGGGAACGAGGAAUUCCAAAUAUCCGGCCUCGAUCUCUCGUGUUUUAAUUCAAAACCGCGUUUUCCAUCUCCUGGGAUUCUCCAUCCCUGGGAUUCUUCAUCCCUGGGAUUCUUCAUCCCUGGAUUCUCCAUCCCUGGGAUUCUCCAUCCCUGGGAUUCUUCAUCNUUCAUCCCUGGGAUUCUUCAUCCCUGGAUUCUCCAUCCCUGGGAUUCUCCAUCCCUGGGAUUCUUCAUCCCUGGGAUUCUUCAUCCCUGGAUUCUUCAUCCCUGGGAUUCUCCAUCCCUGGGAUUCUCCAUCUCCCAGGUUCUCCAUCUCCCGGGUUCUCCAUCCCUGGGAUUCUCUAUCCCUGGGAUUCUUCAUCCCUGGGAUUCUUCAUCCCUGGGUUCUCCAUCUCCCAGGUUCUCCAUCCCUGGGAUUCUUCAUCCCUGGGUUCUUCAUGUGGUGAAUCCCAUUCCCGGGAUCCCUGGGCACAUUCUGGGAUCUCUGGGCACAUUCCCGGGUCCCUGGGCUCAUUCCCGGGUCCCUGGGCUCAUUCCCGGAUCCCCGGGCACAUUCCCGGGAUCCCCAGGCACAUUCCCGGGAUCCCCAGGCACAUUCCCGGGAUCUCUGGGCACAUUCCCGGAUCCCCAGGCACAUUCCCGGGAUCUCUGGGCACAUUCCCGGAUCCCCAGGCACAUUCCCGGAUCCCCGGGCACAUUCCCGGAUCCCUGGGCACAUUCCCGGGAUCUCUGGGCACAUUCCCGGAUCCCUGGGCACAUUCCCGGAUCCCCGGGCACAUUCCCGGAUCCCUGGGCACAUUCCCGGAUCCCUGGGCACAUUCCCGGAUCCCUGGGCACAUUCCCGGGUCCCCAGGCACAUUCCCGGGUCCCCAGGCACAUUCCCGGGUCCCCGGCUGUUCGCGGCUCGUUCUCGCCGUGUUCCGAGCGCUCCCGGGGCGGCUCCUCCGCCGGUCCCAGCCCGGGGCCGCGGUUCUUUCGGGACCGGCAGGGGCGGAUCCCGGCGGCGGCGGCCCCGAGCCUCGUUUUUGGGAGGGAAAGAGUUAAAAUUCCAGGGGAGGGAAGGAGCUUCCAUGAAUGA
rnacentral:lncRNA from 1 species